AGAGUUCCUAAUUAAGCAUAAAAAUAAAUUAGCACAGAAGCUAUUACCUUCUUAGCAAUUAGCACAGGGGAGAGGAAAUUUUAGCAAAUUCUGGUAUUCUGAUUUUUUUCCCCUAAACAUUCUCUUGGCUGCCUGAGUUUUACCCACCAGCACGGUCCCAACAGCCGGGCAGAUACCUCACACAGUGAGGAGCUAGGAAAUGAUUCACAGCAUUCACUUUGCCAGGGAAUUUUCUGAAUAACAAAAUCCGAGUGGGAACAGCACUAAGCAACCAAACUCUCAAAGCUUUAAAUUAAAAACUAUCAGAGGCUAUUUAGGACUAGGACAGAAAUAGGAGGAAGUAAAAGCAAAAUUCUGCAGAAAAGGGGCUCGAUGCGUGAAGCACCUGAGACAAGGAAGUUACUCUUUUACCACCAUGUGAAGUACUGAACCGAUCUUGAGAGUGAAUUUCAUGCCUCUUACCAGUUGCCAGUGAAAGUGUCCCCUGAAUUGCUUGCUGGUAACUGUCCUGCAGAACUGGCACCAGCAACCUCCAAGCAAGCUCUUCCCACACUCAUGUGCCAAUAGGUCUGGAAAAGGUGGAUUAUUUAUUUCCAAGAGAACAUCAUAAAUCACCAGGUGUCACUGAGAAAGUGAUGGAGAAUACACAAUUCCAGUUUUGGACAGAAAGAAUCUGUCCAACACUGCAAGAGAUCUUUCAAAGCAUGCAAAGUUUUCUAUGAAUUGAGAAAUUAAGACAAUGGGGUCACAGGAAUUCCAGGGCAUCAGAAUUCCUGUGCCGGAGUAGUAGCCCCAUAAGAAAUAAAUCCUGUGCUUCUGACUCUUCGAGACAUGGCUCUGAAGCAUGUAGUGCUGGGAUGCUGUAACUCACAUGGAAAUAGAAGCAUGGACUACCUCUGUCAGGCUCCCACAUCAACCCAGCUUCCUGAGCUACACUCACUCAUGAAUUCUCCAGUCACCAGAGGAGAGACCUUCUUGCAUCAUAUGUAAAUAGAGUAUGUGCGGUCCAGCCAAGGAGCCCCAUUAGAAAUAAGCCACCAUCCUUCUGUGGAAUCUGGCUCAAAGGUGACCAGGUGUUGUACUUGUCUUCAAAUAUUUAGACUCUUUUAACAAACAGUACUAUUUGGACUCAGAUUUGACUUAAAACCAUAUAAUUUUUGCAUCAGUUUUUCCAGUUGA